rnacentral:rRNA from 1 species
AACGAACGCUGGCGGCAGGCUUAACACAUGCAAGUCGAACGCCCCGCAAGGGGAGUGGCAGACGGGUGAGUAACGCGUGGGAAUCUACCUAGUUCUACGGAACAACUGAGGGAAACUUCAGCUAAUACCGUAUACGCCCUACGGGGGAAAGAUUUAUCGGAAUUAGAUGAGCCCGCGUUGGAUUAGCUAGUUGGUGAGGUAAUGGCUCACCAAGGCGACGAUCCAUAGCUGGUCUGAGAGGAUGAUCAGCCACACUGGGACUGAGACACGGCCCAGACUCCUACGGGAGGCAGCAGUGGGGAGUAUUGGACAAUGGGCGCAAGCCUGAUCCAGCCAUGCCGCGUGAGUGAUGAAGGCCUUAGGGUUGUAAAGCUCUUUCAGUGGGGAAGAUAAUGACGGUACCCACAGAAGAAGCCCCGGCUAACUUCGUGCCAGCCGCCGCAGUAAAAC